rnacentral:tRNA from 1 species
GGGGAAGUAGCUCAACUGGUAGAGCAUUAACAUGUGGCAACAAUGAACAAAUUCUGGUCUGUUUCUUGCUGAAACAAGGUUUGAGGUUCGAAUCCUCGCUUCUCCA